AGUUUGAUCCUGGCUCAGGAUGAACGCUAGCUACAGGCUUAACACAUGCAAGUCGAGGGGCAGCAUUGGAGUAGCAAUACUUCAGGUGGCGACCGGCGCACGGGUGAGUAACACGUAUCCAACCUGCCGCUUACUCGGGGAUAGCCUUUCGAAAGAAAGAUUAAUACCCGAUGGUAUAAAGAGUUCGCAUGUUCUCUUUAUUAAAGAAUUUCGGUAAGCGAUGGGGAUGCGUUCCAUUAGAUUGUUGGCGGGGUAACGGCCCACCAAGUCUACGAUGGAUAGGGGUUCUGAGAGGAAGGUCCCCCACAUUGGAACUGAGACACGGUCCAAACUCCUACGGGAGGCAGCAGUGAGGAAUAUUGGUCAAUGGACGAGAGUCUGAACCAGCCAAGUAGCGUGAAGGAUGACUGCCCUAUGGGUUGUAAACUUCUUUUAUAAGGGAAUAAAGUGAGGGACGUGUCCCUUUUUGUAUGUACCUUAUGAAUAAGGAUCGGCUAACUCCGUGCCAGCAGCCGCGGUAAUACGGAGGAUCCAAGCGUUAUCCGGAUUUAUUGGGUUUAAAGGGAGCGUAGGUUGACAUAUAAGUCAGCUGUGAAAGUUUACGGCUCAACCGUGAAAUUGCAGUUGAUACUGUAUGUCUUGAGUGUACAAGAGGUGGGCGGAAUUCGUGGUGUAGCGGUGAAAUGCUUAGAUAUCACGAAGAACUCCAAUUGCGAAGGCAGCUCACUGGGGUACAACUGACACUGAGGCUCGAAAGUGUGGGUAUCAAACAGGAUUAGAUACCCUGGUAGUCCACACAGUAAACGAUGAAUACUCGCUGUUUGCGAUAUACAGUAAGCGGCCAAGCGAAAGCAUUAAGUAUUCCACCUGGGGAGUACGCCGGCAACGGUGAAACUCAAAGGAAUUGACGGGGGCCCGCACAAGCGGAGGAACAUGUGGUUUAAUUCGAUGAUACGCGAGGAACCUUACCCGGGCUUGAAUUGCAGAGGAACAUAGUUGAAAGAUUAUGGCCGCAAGGUCUCUGUGAAGGUGCUGCAUGGUUGUCGUCAGCUCGUGCCGUGAGGUGUCGGCUUAAGUGCCAUAACGAGCGCAACCCUUAUCAUUAGUUACUAACAGGUCAUGCUGAGGACUCUAGUGAGACUGCCGUCGUAAGAUGUGAGGAAGGUGG
rnacentral:rRNA from 1 species